rnacentral:rRNA from 1 species
AUUGAACGUUGGCGGCAUGCUUUACACAUGCAAGUCGAACGGCAGCGCGGGGCAACCUGGCGGCGAGUGGCGAACGGGUGAGUAAUAUAUCGGAACGUACCCAGAAGUGGGGGAUAACGUAGCGAAAGUUACGCUAAUACCGCAUACGAUCUACGGAUGAAAGUGGGGGACCUUCGGGCCUCAUGCUUGUGGAGCGGCCGAUAUCUGAUUAGCUAGUUGGUAGGGUAAAGGCCUACCAAGGCAACGAUCAGUAGCUGGUCUGAGAGGACGACCAGCCACACUGGGACUGAGACACGGCCCAGACUCCUACGGGAGGCAGCAGUGGGGAGUUUUGGACAAUGGGCGCAAGCCUGAUCCAGCAAUGCCGCGUGAGUGAAGAAGGCCUUCGGGUUGUAAAGCGCUUUUGUCAGGGAGCAAAGACUGAUGGCUAAUAUCCAUCGGAGUUGAGAGUACCUGAAGAAUAAGGACCGGCUAACUACGUGCCAGCCGCCGCGGUAAAAC